GACGAACGCUGGCGGCGUGCUUAACACAUGCAAGUCGAACGAAGUGGCGAACGGGUGAGUAACGCGUAAUCAACCUGCCCUUCAGAGGGGGAUAACAGUUGGAAACGACUGCUAAUACCGCAUACUUCAGGAGGGGAUUGCGUCUGAUUAGCUAGUUGGAGGGGUAACGGCCCACCAAGGCGAUGAGCAGUAGCCGGGCUGAGAGGAUGAACGGCCACAUUGGGACUGAGACACGGCCCAGACUCCUACGGUGGGCAGCAGUGGGGAAUCGUCCGCAAUGGACGAAAGUCUGACGGAGCAACGCCGCGGGAGUGAUGACGGCCUUCGGGUUGUAAAGCUCUGUUAAUCGGGACGCGGUAACGGAAGAGAAAGCCACGGCUAACUACGUGCCAGCAGCCGCGGUAAUAG
rnacentral:rRNA from 1 species